GACGAACGCUGGCGGCGUGCUUAACACAUGCAAGUCGAACGGAAAGGCCCUGCUUUUGUGGGGUGCUCGAGUGGCGAACGGGUGAGUAACACGUGAGUAACCUGCCCUUGACUUUGGGAUAACUUCAGGAAACUGGGGCUAAUACCGGAUAGGAGCUCCUGCUGCAUGGUGGGGGUUGGAAAGUUUCGGCGGUUGGGGAUGGACUCGCGGCUUAUCAGCUUGUUGGUGGGGUAGUGGCUUACCAAGGCUUUGACGGGUAGCCGGCCUGAGAGGGUGACCGGCGACAUUGGGACUGAGAGACGGCCCAGACUCCAACGGGAGGCAGCGGGGGGAAAUAUUGCACAAUGGGCGGAAGCCUGAUGCAGCAACGCCGCGUGCGGGAUGACGGCCUUCGGGUUGUAAACCGCUUUCGCCUGUGACGAAGCGUGAGUGACGGUAAUGAGUAAAGAAGCACCGGCUAACUACGUG
rnacentral:rRNA from 1 species